CGUCCUACGGGACGCAGCAGUGGGGAAUAUUGCACAAUGGGCGCAAGCCUGAUGCAGCGACGCCGCGUGCGGGAUGGAGGCCUUCGGGUUGUAAACCGCUUUUGUUCAAGGGCAAGGCACGGUCUUUAGCCGUGUUGAGUGGAUUGUUCGAAUAAGCACCGGCUAACUACGUGCCAGCAGCCGCGGUAAUACGGAGGGUGCAAGCGUUAUCCGGAUUUAUUGGGCUUAAAGGGCUCGUAGGCGGUUCGUCGCGUCCGGUGUGAAAUUCCAUCGCUUAACCGUGUAUCCGCGCCGGGUACGGGCGG
rnacentral:rRNA from 1 species